rnacentral:lncRNA from 1 species
ACCUUCUUUUGUUUCUCAUUGUUUAUUUUGUAAAUCUCCUCACAUUCUUUUUGAAAGAAGGAAUGAAGAAGGAUGGGAAGUGGGGAGAGAUGGAUGCCAACCACCCAGUGAACAGAAGUCACCGUGGCAGCAGGACUGGCAGUGGAAAUCAGUUACCUUGUUGUCCUGAAUUCCUGUAUCGAGGCAAACUAUUCUACUCCUGUUUCCCUCGGACUUCUACAUGCCCAUGCUACACAUAUCCUGUGGCCUCCAGAGCGCUGGCAGAAAUUGGAAUCUGUUCUUCCUCCAGAGCGCUUGCUAGUUCAGAGAGAAGAGGAAUAAUGGCAUGAAACUCCCUCAGCUGCUGGCAUUGGCAGGCCAAAACCAUCCAUUACAGAAGGGAUGGAGAGGAGGAACCUUCAGAAGGGCAACGUUUGUUUCAAAUGAAAUGAUCUGCAUUAUUAAAGAAAAAGUGUUAAAAUAUUAUAUAGUAUUAAAUAGCAACUGAUUUUGUGUUUAAUUGUAAUACUCUAUUGCUCAAUGCCAAAAAAUACAGACCUUUGGGAAUAGGAAAACUUUAUUCCCAUGUCUUACAGGGAAAUUGUUAUGUGUACUUAGUCUCUCGAUUGUUGGGUUUUAAUUUUGGUGCUUGCUGCUGAGAGAAUAUGAAAAUUAAUAUUUGAUGAAAGUAAUUCAGUAAUGUCAUUUACUCUUUAGAACAUGAAGAAACAUACAGUGAUGGAAAUUAUAUUGUAAUUGACAGUAUGUACGAGGCAGUGACUGCUGGCUAAGAAGAACAGUAAACUGUGAUAUAAAAAUAAAACUGAUUUGCUCAGGUACUGUUUUGGGUAUUAAUCAUUUAACCUGUACCUCCCUUACUGAGGAAUAUUUUUUUUUUUUUUUGGAAGCAAGGAAUUAAAGUAAGGAGAACCAAUUCUAUCAAUAUUUCCAUACAAUUAAAGCUUUCUUAUUAGCCCUUUUAAAUAAAAACUUCUGAGUGAUCUCUUGCCUGUUCACAUCCAUGAAUAAACCUAUUCAUCAGUAUUCAGUCACUAUGUGGUAAAAUGUUCUGAGUGAAAUAAAAAAAAUAUUCCUGUUUGACCAACUUUUUUUCCUCCCAAUGAUUUUCAGUGUUUAUCUCUGUAAAUACUGAAAUCACCAAUUGCAAAGUGGGAUGAUAACGGCAUCAUAGAUCCUCUAACUGCAGAGGUAAGGCAGUAAAUCCCUUCAUACGAGUCUAUAUUCAUUCUUGCAAAUGUGGAUGCAAGUUUCCUUAGUGGUCAGGAAUGCAAAGAGUAAGGGUA